ACUCCUACGGGAGGCAGCAGUGGGGAAUAUUGCGCAAUGGGCGAAAGCCUGACGCAGCGACGCCGCGUGGGGGAUGACGGCCUUCGGGUUGUAAACCUCUUUCAGCAGGGACGAAGCGGAAGUGACGGUACCUGCAGAAGAAGCACCGGCCAACUACGUGCCAGCAGCCGCGGUAAUACGUAGGGUGCAAGCGUUGUCCGGAAUUAUUGGGCGUAAAGAGCUCGUAGGCGGUUUGUUGCGUCGGCUGUGAAAACCUGAGGCUCAACCUCAGGCCUGCAGUCGAUACGAGCAGACUAGAGUGUUGCAGGGGAGAUUGGAAUUCCUGGUGUAGCGGUGAAAUGCGCAGAUAUCAGGAGGAACACCGGUGGCGAAGGCGGGUCUCUGGGCAACAACUGACGCUGAGGAGCGAAAGCGUGGGGAGCGAACAGGAUUAGAUACCCUGGUAGUCCACGCCGUAAACGUUGGGCGCUAGGUGUGGGGCUCAUUCCACGAGUUCCGUGCCGCAGCUAACGCAUUGAGCGCCCCGCCUGGGGAGUACGGCCGCAAGGCUAAAACUCAAAUGAAUUGACGG
rnacentral:rRNA from 1 species